GGAGGGAUUCCCGAGUGGCCAAAGGGGGCGGACUGUAAAUCCGUUGCGUAACGCUUCGAAGGUUCAAAUCCUUCUCCCUCCACCA
rnacentral:tRNA from 1 species